UCGAGUAAGCAGGGGGGCUUUUUCGUGCCGCCGCCGCGUGUUUCACACAUGGGACACGGCAACGCAAAAGCUGAGAUGGGCGUAUGCCCGGACCCUUCGAACCUGUUGGCCAAUACCAUCGUAGGGAGCGUUCUUCGUGGCUCU
rnacentral:ncRNA from 2 species